rnacentral:misc_RNA from 1 species
GACUGUUUGGAUGGGCCCAGGAGGUGCCUUGUGAUGUGAUUGAGUUGUGAUUGUGUGAUUGGCGGAUAUAGAAGUGUAUUUUGAAGCCUUUUACAGCUUGGGUAGGUCCCAAGUAUAGGGCAAACUCUGUCGAAUUUUUCGGCAUGAAUUAGGCUGCCUGUUGCCUCUUUAGAGUUUUAUUUUCACUUAGUACUAAUAAAUUUAUAAU